CAACAAAUUAUAAGUUUUGAUUGCAUGGAUUCUCAUACUUCACACCAUUAGUAUUUAUAUUAACAUUCCAAUCAAGCUUGCCCGCACUAUUGUAGAGGGUAAAACACUCGACAUGUUUCUGCAUUUCAGAUGGUCACAGCUGGUUUGUAGUUUAGUCUGUUUAUCAGACAUUCAUGUUAGAUUUCACAAAACAGUUUUUAUUGGCCACACAUUUCCAUAAACCAGCUCUUAUCAUGUCUUGGCAGCCGGUCGUUUGAUGUGAAGCAGGCUGCUAUAAUCUGGAUGUGAUCUUUGACUCUCAGCUUUCCUCAGGUCCAUCAACCACCUCUACCCCUGCUGCAAAAUGGGGUCAUGUCACCCAAGAAGAUGAUAAUGCUGAUCCUCCAGAUUUAGAGCAGUGCCUACCACCACACCUGGCUCUCCAGUUUCUACUCCUCCAAUGGAUCCAGCUGACAGGCCAUCAGUCAGUCAGUUUGUCCAGUUUGAAUCAUUUUAAGAUGACCCACUGUGAGUAACAACCAACAUGUACGUACUGUAAGUUACUGAAUAUGUCCCUAAAAAUCCUGGAAAAUGAUUUCUGUACAAGAUUAAUUUUGCUUGUUCUACUUCAGAUGUUUGAUGGCGAAAUGACUGAAACACAAAAUAGAGAUUUUCAAAGAAUUCAACAGUUUUUUUUCUAAAUAGCAUUAGGUGGUA